rnacentral:misc_RNA from 1 species
GAUGAAGAACGUAGCGAAAUGCGAUAAGUAGUGUGAAUUGCAGAAUUCAGUGAAUCAUCGAAUCUUUGAACGCACAUUGCGCCCCUUGGUACUCCAUGGGGCAUGCCUGUUCGAGCGUCAUUUACACCCUCAAGCUCAGCUUGGUGUUGGGCGUCUGUCCCGCUUCGUGCGCGGACUCGCCUCAAAUGCAUUGGCAGCGGUCUUGCCAGCUUCUCGCGCAGCACAUUGCGCUUCUAGAGGCUUUGGCGGAUCGGCGUCCAUCAAGUACACCCACAGUUUGACCUCGGAUCAGGUAGGGAUACCCGCUGAACUUAAGCAUAUCAAUAAGCGAGGA